CCUACGGGAGGCAGCAGUGGGGAAUAUUGGACAAUGGGCGGAAGCCUGAUCCAGCCAUGCCGCGUGUGUGAAGAAGGCCUUUUGGUUGUAAAGCACUUUAAGCGAGGAGGAGGCUACCUGGAUUAAUACUCUAGGAUAGUGGACGUUACUCGCAGAAUAAGCACCGGCUAACUCUGUGCCAGCAGCCGCGGUAAUACAGAGGGUGCGAGCGUUAAUCGGAUUUACUGGGCGUAAAGCGUGCGUAGGCGGCUGAUUAAGUCGGAUGUGAAAUCCCUGAGCUUAACUUAGGAAUUGCAUUCGAUACUGGUCAGCUAGAGUAUGGGAGAGGAUGGUAGAAUUCCAGGUGUAGCGGUGAAAUGCGUAGAGAUCUGGAGGAAUACCGAUGGCGAAGGCAGCCAUCUGGCCUAAUACUGACGCUGAGGUACGAAAGCAUGGGGAGCAAACAGGAUUAGAUACCCUGGUAGUCCAUGCCGUAAACGAUGUCUACUAGCCGUUGGGGCCUUUGAGGCUUUAGUGGCGCAGCUAACGCGAUAAGUAGACCGCCUGGGGAGUACGGUCGCAAGACUAAAACUCAAAGGAAUUGACGG
rnacentral:rRNA from 1 species